AUUGAACGCUGGCGGCAGGCCUAACACAUGCAAGUCGAACGAGUGGCGGACGGGUGAGUAAUGUCUGGGAAACUGCCUGAUGGAGGGGGAUAACUACUGGAAACGGUAGCUAAUACCGCAUACCAUCAGAUGUGCCCAGAGGGUAUUAGCUGGUUGGUGGGGUACAGGCUCACCAAGGCGACGUGCCCUAGCUGGGCUGAGCGGAUGACCAGCCACACUGGAACUGAGACAUGUGCCAUACGCCUCCGGUAUGCAGCAGUGGGGAAUAUUGCACAAGGGGCGCAAGCCUGAUGCAGCCAUGCCGCGUGUAUGAAGAAGGCCUUCUGGUUGUAAAGUACUUUCAGCGGGGAGGCGUUACCCGCAGAAGAAGCACCGGCGAACUCCGUGCCAGCAGCCGCGGUAAUUC
rnacentral:rRNA from 1 species